ensembl:lncRNA CFAP100-DT CFAP100 divergent transcript
GAGGGCUGGGCCUGCGGGCCGCGGGACAGGGAGGGCGCGGGGCCGGGCUGCUGGGUCCGAGCUCUGGGCACGAUGUCCUCCCUGACGCCGCCAGGACAGCGCCUGGCCCAGGCCUGGGCCUGGUGAACGCGGGUUUCUUCCUCUGAGGUUCAACACUCCGCACUUGGGUUGGCUCCUUUCAUCCUGAUUGGUUUAUUCGCCACGUGCCAAGCACUGAAGAGGGCGUGCAGGAUGGAUACUUUUGGAGCAAAAAUAGCCCUGCUUCUUUCCUGGGGAGGGAUCGCACUUUCUAGAGGGGCGGUUUUCAAAGUAUGGUCUCAGGACUAGCAGCAUCGAAAAUGCUGGGAACUCGUUAGAAAAGCAAGUUUUCAAUCCUCGCCCCAGAAUCAGAAACUCGGGGUGGAGCCCAGCAAUGUGUGUCCUGACAAGUCCACGCGCGACCCCAGUGCUGGCUAGGGUUGCAAAGCCACUGCUCUACGGAGCGAGCGAGAUCCAUCAUAGUGGGACAAGCGAGAGGAUGAGGCCAUACAGACCAGGGCAAGUUUUGAGCGCGCAGAUCCACCAGCUGCUUGAAGCCAGGGGCACCAGGAUGUCUGGUCCCCCAGCUCAGGGAUCCUGUCUCCCCACAAAAAGCAGCAGCAGAAGACCCCUCUUUGAGUUCUGAACAUGUUCCUAGAUUUUCCCAGUAUCUAUGGGGAUUGAGAGAUUGAUAAAGGCUGCUUGGAGCUGAAAGCACAGUUUUAGCAAACCACAAGAAGCACUUCAUAAACUGGUGACUCAAGUAGAAAAGUACUGUUCCACGCACUUGACACCAAUCCACCCAUUUCACCUGCAUGAUCACCCUGCCUUUGCAUGAGUUGCCGGUGUGGACAGAGCAGGGACACAGUGAGACAGCGGAUUCCAGCUUUGCUCUUACCUAGAACACACUGCCUCUCACCAGGAAUCGUCCUUCCAUUUUAUGCAGUUAUCCCAGACAAUGAUGCACAAGCUUUGGGAAAAAAACCCCACAAGUCCAAAGGUGUACUUCAUAAUAAAGGCAAGUUAUCUG